CAUACCUGAGGACGACCUUGGACUCCAGAUCUUCUUGCCUCCACUUCCCAGCUCCCAGGAUUAGAAGCAUCCACCACCAUCUCCAUGCCUGGCUGAAGAACUGCCUCUAACAUUUCACACCCCAUCCCCACAGACACCCUUGGACCUGGAAGUAAAGAAGAGCCCGUUGAUUGUCCCACAGUGAAACUGCUCACGUUUACUGAAGCCCCCACGGGCCUGAUUUGUUUCCACCUCCCGGCUACACUUCAAGGAAACGCUGUCUCCACAGGGGAGAAGAGAAUGGGGACCUACCACUUCAAUAAAAGCAUAAAAGUCAUGCAGUCGCUGUGACGAUAUUAUCAGAUUCUCGAAUGAAAAUUCUAAAUGAGAGCUGGGGAGAUGGACUACUUAACCAUGUGAGCAUUUGGACUAGACUGAGUUCUCCAACAUCUGCAUGAAUGCUGAGUGGGCAUGGACGUCUGCCUGUAAUACCAACACCCAGGAGAUGGAGACAGGAAUCUCAGAGCAAGCUAGUUAGUUAGACUAGCCAAACUGGUGAGCUCUUGCUCAAUGUAUAAGGUAUACAGUGACCCAGGAAGACACCGGACGUCAACUUCUGACUACUACAUGCAUAUGAACUCAAAUACAAAAUAUUUUACUAUAUUUUAUUUACUAUUACUGUGUAUGGUAUACCAAUAAUCCCUGAAAAUUGUUAUUAAAAAGUUUGUAAUAUAUUAAUAUUAUAUCAAAAUACAUUAAUGAUGAAAACAUAACAGAGUUUGUGACAAUCUAAGCAAGUAAUUUAUGGAAUUAAAGACAUCUCAGUUUUUUUCUCCCCUCUGCAAUCCUUGCACCUGUGUUGGAGAUUCUACAAGGCUGAUGAACUGCCCAGAACAUUGCAAAGCUACAGCCCAAAUAUCGUGGGUUUCCUUAGUGGCUAUUUGUUGCCUACCUCUGAGUGUGAACUAACAUCUUUUUAGCUAUCAGGCAAAACCUCUGGAAUGUAAUAGCUUACUCACCAUUGUUCACCAAACCCCAAGCUAAGAAUAUCAUCAGUAAAACCUAAAAUCUAUAACAGAGUUUUCCCCACUACACUAUAACCUGCUGCUUACCGGGUGUUCCCACCAAUGCGUUGGGAAAACACCUUGAUUUAUGGCUUUCUUUUGUUCUGUCAAUAAAGAAGUUCAUGUAACCGCUUUCAGGUUGAUACAUGUUGUUCCCAGGUCACGAGCAGUCACCUUUGGCUUUGAAUAAAUUAUAUAUUGUCCCCUUUGCUGUGCGCGCUGUGUUUUGCAUGGACGCUGAAUGGGAAGAAACAAGUGCCAGGCGACCACUUUUGGAGUAUGGUGGAGAUGCAAAUCCCCUCCAAGGAGAAACACACACCAAUAAGCUUCAACCUGUAGGACUUGGGGUGCUAAUUUGAGAAUUCCACGUGUGUUCGGAGAUGUCAUAGAUCCUCUAAGCUAACAGGAUUUUUUAUUCUCACGGAAGCAGUUGCACUUAAGACAGAUCUUUGAAACAGAAGACAGAGCUAUCAAAAGCAAAUCUAAAAAGACACUUGGGUGGCUCCUGAGUGGCUGCUGGGUACAGAUUUCCUACCUGCCUCUGGGAUCGCAUGGUUCAUGGGAAUUUUCCUCCUGGCCUUCUGACUGGCUCAGAUGUGAGGUCCUGACUCCAGCUAAACCCACCGGGGUCUUUUCUGAAGACUGUGUGAACAAUGACUAGUGAGGGGCCAGCUUUUCUUUGAGGACAGAGUAAGAGCAUUUUGGGGUUGGGGGAGACAUUUUUCUGCUUGCCUACAGGACGCAGAGAAAGGCAGAUGGCUACUGAGUCCCUGGCUGCAACUGCCUUCAAGACUGGUAGAACAGGCACCCUUUCUGAAUUCUGAAUCUUCACUUCUUCCCAUGAUUUUACAGAAGCCUUUCGCUCAUCUUUCGUUGUUGUUUUGUUUUUUAUUUGUUGUUUUGUUUUAUCUGAACUUGUCAGAGUCUGAGUUCGGGCACAUGGACCAAGGACAUAGUUAAGAAAAUUCAAGAAGAAAGCACAGCCCUUGUUUUGAAAUACACGAAAUUACCAGUACUUCCUGACUCACCCACAGGUCAUACUUGUCUGUGUGUGUCUGGCCUUGGGAAGGAUGGAGAGAAGAACACAAGAGACAGGUGGGGAUGUCUGGCUAAGCUCUUUGGAUCAUCGUCUGUUAAGGAGGCGGAACUCAUCUUGGCUGCGGGAAGAAACAGACAAUACCUGGAUUGUUCAGGCUAAGGUUAUGACCAUAAAAAUAAAAUUGCUUCUCUCGCUUACGAAUGCGAUG